rnacentral:rRNA from 1 species
GGAUUGGGAGGGUUCUACGGAACCCGUUUGGUGAAUCUAGUGCCGAGAAAAGCCUUCUAUGUGUUGAAUUUCUAGUACCCGUACCCCAAACCGACACAGGUGGGUGGGUAGAGCAUACCUAGGGGCGCGUGAUAACUCUCUCUAAGGAACUCGGCAAAAUGGCCCUGUAACUUCGGGAUAAGGGGUGCCUGCGUGAGCAGGCCGCAGUGAAAUGGCUCUGGCGACUGUUUACCAAAAACACAGGUCUCUGCUAAGUCGUAAGACGAUGUAUAGGGGCUGACUCCUGCCCAGUGCCGGAAGGUUAAGGAAGUUGGUUAGCGCAAGCGAAGCUGGCGACCGAAGCCCCGGUGAACGGCGGCCGUAACGAUAACGGUCCUAAGGUAGCGAAAUUCCUUGUCGGGUAAGUUCCGACCCGCACGAAAGGAGUAACGAUCAGAGCGCUGUCUCGGAGAGAGACACGGCGAAAUAGGAUUGUCCGUGAAGAUACGGACUACCUGCACCCGGACAGAAAGACCCUAUGAAGCUUUACUGUAACUUGGAAUUGUGUUCGGACUUUGUCUGCGCAGAAUAGGUGGGAGGCUAUGAAACGUUCCUCGCGGGGAACUGGAGCCAUCGUUGAGAUACCACUCUGGCAGAGUCUGGAUUCUAACCUACGGGGACAGUUCCAGGUGGGCAGUUUGACUGGGGCGGUCGCCUCCUAAAAUGUAACGGAGGCGCGCAAAGGUUCCCUCAGGCUGGUUGGAAAUCAGCCAUAGAGUGUAAAAGCAUAAGGGAGCUUGACUGUGAGACCUACGAGUCGAGCAGGGACGAAAGUCGGCUUUAGUGAUCCGACGGCACUGAGUGGAAGGGCCGUCGUUCAACGGAUAAAAGUUACUCUAAGGAUAACAGGCUGAUCUCCCCCAAGAGUUCACAUCGACGGGGAGGUUUGGCACCUCGAUGUCGGCUCGUCGCAACCUGGGGCGGUAGUACGUCCCAAGGGUUGGGCUGUUCGCCCAUUAAAGCGGCACGUGAGCUGGGUUCAGAACGUCGUGAGACAGUUCGGUCCAUAUCCGGUGUAGGCGUAGGAGCAUUGAAAGGAUCUCUCCUUAGUACGAGAGGACCGGGAGGGACGUACCUCUGGUGUACCUGUUAUCGUGCCAACGGUAAACGCAGGGUAGCCAUGUACGGAGUGGAUAACCGCUGAAAGCAUCUAAGUGGGAAGCCCACCUUAAGAUGAGUGCUCCCUUGAGGCCACGGGAAGACGACCCGUUUGAUAGGCGCUAGGUGGAAGUGCAGUAAUGCAUGCAGCCGAGGCGUACUAAUAGGCCGAUGGC